UUUGUUUAGAGAGAUGCGAGGCUCUUAAGUGAUUUCUCGCUCAUUGCUCAAGGCUUCGAUGUCUCCAACUUCUUCCCUCAGGUUGCUCAAAAUGUGGCAUCACAGUCAUUGGAAAAAAUGGAUUAUUUGUGGUCUUGCAGAAUGCUUAAUGUCACUUUAAUUUGUUUUUGUGUAGGAAGCUUUGAAAAGGAAGCUAAAUGCUAUAAUAGAAUAUGCCAAGUUUCUUCAGGACACAGUCAAAAGAAAUAAA